rnacentral:rRNA from 1 species
UACGGAGGGUGCAAGCGUUGUUCGGAAUCACUGGGCGUAAAGCGCGUGUAGGCGGCCUUUUAAGUUUGAUGUGAAAGCCCGGGGCUCACCCCCGGAAGUGCAUUGAAUACUGAAAGGCUGGAGUACCGGAGAGGAGGGUGGAAUUCCUGGUGUAGCGGUGAAAUGCGUAGAUAUCAGGAGGAACACCUGUGGCGAAGGCGGCCCUCUGGACGGAUACUGACGCUGAGACGCGAAAGCGUGGGGAGCAAACAGG